GGCAGAUUGCAUUGUUAUUGUUGGCGUGGCAGACGGAAGCCCAGCAGUUGGUCAGCUUGAAAAACAGCUGGAGAAUAUUGGUGUACGAUCCCAAAAGGAGCUUAUUCUGUUGCAUCGUGAGGAUGGCGCUAAAGGUUUCCGUAUUUCACACACCGUGGAUUGGUUGAACGCGCGCGGCUGGAUCUGCGCUCAUCAUCAUGUUCGAUGCGCUAAGAAAAUCUUUGGACGACGCCCCUUGUCUGAAAAGUACGCACAAAAUCCUGCAGCGUACCCAUUACCAGAAUGG